rnacentral:tRNA from 1 species
GAGGGUAUAGCUCAAGUGGUAGAGUGCAUGCUUAGCAGGCAUGAGGUCCUGGGUCUAAUCCCCAGUACCUCUA